rnacentral:rRNA from 1 species
AACGAACGCUGGCGGCAUGCCUAACACAUGCAAGUCGAACGAGACCUUCGGGUCUAGUGGCGCACGGGUGCGUAACGCGUGGGAAUCUGCCCUUGGGUUCGGAACAGCAGUUGGAAACGACUGCUAAUACCGGAUGAUGACUUCGGUCCAAAGAUUUAUCGCCCAAGGAUGAGCCCGCGUAGGAUUAGCUUGUUGGUGAGGUAAAAGCUCACCAAGGCGACGAUCCUUAGCUGGUCUGAGAGGAUGAUCAGCCACACUGGGACUGAGACACGGCCCAGACUCCUACGGGAGGCAGCAGUGGGGAAUAUUGGACAAUGGGCGAAAGCCUGAUCCAGCAAUGCCGCGUGAGUGAUGAAGGCCUUAGGGUUGUAAAGCUCUUUUACCCGGGAUGAUAAUGACAGUACCGGGAGAAUAAGCCCCGGCUAACUCCGUGCCAGCCGCCCGCGGUAAAAC